rnacentral:rRNA from 1 species
GUCUACAACCAAAUAAUCCUAAACGAGCCUGAGCUUAUCGCAGAAGCUAAGCAGAGUUAAGCCUGGUUAGUACUUGGAUGGGAGACUGCCAGAAUAAGUACCAAGUGAUGUAAGACU